rnacentral:rRNA from 1 species
UACGGAGGGUGCGAGCGUUGUUCGGAUUUACUGGGCGUAAAGGGCGCGUAGGCGGUUUGGCAAGUCAGGUGUGAAAUCCUUCCGCUCAACGGAAGAAGUGCAUUUGAAACUGCCAAGCUAGAGUAUGGGAGAGGAGAGCGGAAUUCCCGGUGUAGAGGUGAAAUUCGUAGAUAUCGGGAGGAACACCCGUGGCGAAGGCGGCUCUCUGGCCCAAUACUGACGCUGAGGCGCGAAAGCGUGGGGAGCAAACAGG